rnacentral:rRNA from 1 species
GUCUAUGGCCAUACCACCCUGAAUACGCCCGAUCUUAUCUGAUCUCAGAAGCUAAGUAGGGUCGAUCUUGGUUAGUACUUGGAUGGGAGACCACCUAGGAAGACCAGAUGCUGUAGGCU